GGUGUUGUGGCUCAGUGGCAGAGCACUUGCCUAGCAUGUGUGAGGCAUUAAGUUCAAUUCUCACCAUCA
rnacentral:tRNA from 1 species